rnacentral:rRNA from 1 species
AGGAUGAACGCUGGCGGCGUGCUUAACACAUGCAAGUCGAACGAUGAAGGGAGCUUGCUCCUGGAUUAGUGGCGAACGGGUGAGUAACACGUGAGUAACCUGCCCUUGACUCUGGGAUAAGCCUGGGAAACCGGGUCUAAUACCGGAUAUGACCUGUCACCGCAUGGUGGUGGGUGGAAAGCUUUUUUGUGGUUUUGGAUGGACUCGCGGCCUAUCAGCUUGUUGGUGAGGUAAUGGCUUACCAAGGCGACGACGGGUA